GUGACCGUAGCUCACAGGUAGAGUCCCGGAUUGUGAUUCCGGUUGUUGUGGGUUCGAGUCCCAUCGGUCACCCCA
rnacentral:tRNA from 1 species